rnacentral:rRNA from 1 species
AUUGAACGCUGGCGGCAGGCCUAACACAUGCAAGUCGAGCGGAGCGGCGGACGGGUGAGUAAUGCCUAGGAAUCUGCCUGGUAGUGGGGGAUAACGUCCGGAAACGGGCGCUAAUACCGCAUACUAUCAGAUGAGCCUAGGUCGGAUUAGCUAGUUGGUGGGGUAAAGGCCUACCAAGGCGACGAUCCGUAACUGGUCUGAGAGGAUGAUCAGUCACACUGGAACUGAGAUACGGUCCAGACUACUACGGGACGCAGCAAUGGGGAAUAUUGGACAAUGGGCGAAAGCCUGAUCCAGCCAUGCCGCGUGUGGGAAGAAGGUCUUCGGAUUGUACAGCACUUUAAGUUGGGAGGCGGUACCCGCAUAAGAAGCACCGGCUAACUCCGUGCCAGCAGCCGCGGUAAUUC